UACGUAGGGGGCAAGCGUUGUCCGGAUUUAUUGGGCGUAAAGAGCGUGUAGGCGGCUUUGCAAGUCCGUUGUGAAAACUCGAGGCUCAACCUCGAGACGCCGGUGGAAACUGCAAAGCUAGAGUCCGGAAGAGGAGAGUGGAAUUCCUGGUGUAGCGGUGAAAUGCGUAGAGAUCAUGAGGAAGACCAGUGGCGAAGGCGGGUCUCUGGACAGUUCCUGACACUGAGGCACGAAGGCCAGGGGAGCAAACGGG
rnacentral:rRNA from 1 species